rnacentral:rRNA from 1 species
CGUAGGGGGCUAGCGUUGUCCGGAAUCAUUGGGCGUAAAGCGCGUGUAGGCGGCUCGAUAAGUCCGCUCUGAAAGCCCGGGGCUCAACCCCGGGAGGCGGGUGGAUACUGUCGAGCUCGAGUCCGGAAGAGGCAAGUGGAAUUCCCGGUGUAGCGGUGAAAUGCGCAGAUAUCGGGAGGAACACCAAUGGCGAAGGCAGCUUGCUGGGACGGUACUGACGCUGAGACGCGAAAGCGUGGGGAGCAAACAGGAUUAGAUACCCUGGUAGUCCACGCCGUAAACGAUGGACACUAGGUGUGGGGGGUGUCGACUCCCUCCGUGCCGAAGCUAACGCAUUAAGUGUCCCGCCUGGGGAGUACGGCCGCAAGGCUA